rnacentral:rRNA from 1 species
UACGUAGGGUGCGAGCGUUGCCCGGAUUUAUUGGGCGUAAAGGGCGCGUAGGCGGCUACGCACGUCCGUUGUGAAAUCGCUCGGCUCAACUGGGCGGGGUCAGCGGAUACGGCGUAGCUGGAGCAAGCUAGGGGGCAAUGGAAUUCCCGGUGUAGUGGUGGAAUGCGUAGAUAUCGGGAGGAACACCAGUGGCGAAGGCGGUUGCCUGGAGCUUUGCUGACGCUGAUGCGCGAAAGCGUGGGG